CACCAGCCCCUCGAGUGGUGGGGAUGAUUAUUUGGCCUAAAGCGUCCGUAGCCGGCCGGGUAAGUCUCCCGUUAAAUCCAACGUCUCAAGCGUUGGACUGCGGGAGAUACUGCCUGGCUAGAGAGUGGGAGAGGUCAGCGGUAUUCUGGGGGUAGGGGCGAAAUCCUUUGAUCCCCGGAGGACCACCAGUGGCGAAGGCUGCUGACUAGAACACGUCUGACGGUCAGGGACGAAAGCUGGGGUAGCGAACCGGAUUAGAUACCCGGGUAGUCCCAGCCGUAAACGAUGCAUGCUAGGUGUUGGGUUGGCCACGAGCCACCCCAGUGCCGCAGGGAAGCCGUUAAGCAUGCCGCCUGGGAAGUACGAUCGCAAGAUUGAAACUUAAAGGAAUUGGGCGGGGAGCACCACCAGGCGUGAAGCCUGCGGUUU
rnacentral:rRNA from 1 species